UAGGGAAUCUUCGGCAAUGGACGAAAGUCUGACCGAGCAACGCCGCGUGAGUGAAGAAGGUUUUCGGAUCGUAAAACUCUGUUGUUAGAGAAGAACAAGGACGUUAGUAACUGAACGUCCCCUGACGGUAUCUAACCAGAAAGCCACGGCUAACUACGUUCCAGCAGCCGCGGUAAUACGUAGGUGGCAAGCGUUGUCCGGAUUUAUUGGGCGUAAAGCGAGCGCAGGCGGUUUCUUAAGUCUGAUGUGAAAGCCCCCGGCUCAACCGGGGAGGGUCAGUGGAAACUGGGAGACUUGAGUGCAGAAGAGGAGAGUGGAAUUCCAUGUGUAGCGGUGAAAUGCGUAGAUAUAUGGAGGAACACCAGUGGCGAAGGCGGCUCUCUGGUCUGUAACUGACGAUGAGGCUCGAAAGCGUGGGGAGCAAACAGG
rnacentral:rRNA from 1 species